GAGGUUGUGGCUCAGCGGUAGAGUGUUUGCCUAGCAGCACGAGGCACUGGGUUUGAUCCUCAGCACCACA
rnacentral:tRNA from 1 species